UUAAUGCAUGCUGUUCUGUGUAGGAAUUAUUCUUCCUGUAAGCAUACAACAUAUGGAGCUUUCCUUUUCUGACACAGGGGCUCAAACGUAUGUAAUAUACAUUUUAUUAUAUUGUCUGAUAUUGAUAAUAUGAUUACCAGCACGAGCCACCGGGCUGUCCUCUUCAACAUCUUAGAUUCCAUUUCGGACACCCCCAUCAGGACCGUGUGUCCCUGUCCUGGAACUCAAGUGAACACUUGGCUCAAAAUCCAUUGCUGUUCCCUAGAAAUCCAGCUCAGUUCUCUUGUUUAAAUAUAAGGCAUGUGUAGUAGACAUUGCGUUUUCUCUUUGGCGACAAAACUCAGGAGGAUUGACCCUUGAUGAACAAGGCUAACAUGCUGAGCGUUUGAAGCAAGGAACUGGAGAUGGUCGUUUUAGGGGUUUAUAUUCUGGAUUCCAGAAAACAGGCAAACAGGGCCAAUAAAUUCAUUUUUACUUUUCUGUCCAUUUUAACCUGGUCAACAAAAAUCCGAGAGCGCUGGAGCAAGAAGAUCUCAUGCUGUGACCCUCCAAAGGGAAGUACUUUCUGUUGUCUAAAAGAAAAGAACGCACUUCCCUUUGGAGUGUUACCGUUUGAGAAAAGCAACGUUGAAGUUGAUGCUGAUCUUGGUAAUAACUUUGCAGAGCAUGCUUAUCAUCAGACAUGGACGACGGUGUAGUUCUGUUUUGGUUUUGGGGUUUUUUUUUUUUCUUUUUUGUUUUGUUUUGCUUUUGAGAUGGAGUCUCGCUCUGUCGCCCAGGCUGGAUGCAGUAGCGCAAUCUUGGCUCACUGCAAGCUCCGCCUCCCAGGUUCACACCAUUCUCCUGCCUCAGCCCGGCUAAUUUUUUGUUGUUUUAGUAGAGACAGAGUUUCACUGUGUCAGCCAGGAUGGUCUCGAUCUCCUGACCUCGUGAUCCGUCCGCCUCGGCCUCCCAGAGUGCUGGGAUUACAGGCGUGAGCCACCGCGCCCAGCCGAGACAGUGUCUCUGUUGCCCAGCCUGAAGUGUGGCGGCACUUCCAACCUAGGUCUCCUUGGUCAGAUGGUCCUCUUUUUAGGGAUAGAGUCUUGCUCUAUGACCCAGGCUGGAGUGCAGUGGUGCGAUCUUGGCUCACUGCAACCUCCACCUCCCAGUUCAAGCGAUUCUCCUGCCUCAGCCUCCCGAGUAGCUGGGAUUACAGGUGUGUGCCACCACGCCCAGCUAAUUUUUGUAUUUUGUAUUUUUAGUAGAGAUGGGGUUUCACUAUGUUGGCCAGGCUGGUCUCGAACUCCUGACCUUGUGAUCUGUCCACCUCAGACUCCCAAAGUGCUGGGAUUACCAGCAUGAGGCACCCGCC
rnacentral:lncRNA from 1 species